GGAAGCCGAGGCAGACUGAUCACCUGAGGUCAGGAGUUAAAGACCAGCCUGGCCAACAUGGUGAAACCCUGUCUCUACUAAAAUACAAAAAUUAGCCCAGUGUGGUGGCGGUCACCUGUAAUCCCAGCUACUCACGGGCUGAGGCUGGACAAUCCCUUGAACCUAGGAGGCAGAGGUUGCAGUGAGCCGAGAUCACACCACUGGACUCCAGCCUGGGUGACAGAGCCAAACUCCAUCUCAAAAAAAAAAAAAAAAAAAGGAAGAAGAUAGGAGAAAUGCACGUAACAGAUUAUUCCUUACAGCCCCCAGAAGGAGCCAACCCUAGCAAUACCUUGAUUUUGGAUUUCCGGCCUCCAAAAUGGCGAGAAAAUAAAUUUCUCUUGUUUUAAGCCACCCAGUUUGUGAUUAUUUGUUUUGGCAGACAUAGGAAGCUACUACUGCUGAUAUGGGGCAGGCUCUCAAAGAAAUACCCUGAUGAACUGGCGUAAAUGACUGAAAUCAGGUCUUUAUUAGAUCACCUAGUGGCCCAGUGGUUAAAAGCAUAAACUUGGGAGAUAGACAAACCUGCAUUUCAAUCUCUGCUGGAAUACUCAGCCACUGUGUGACCUCAGGAUGUGUAUCUUUGGAACUCACAACAAGCAAUAUAAACCAUCAACAAAACCAGACCUCAGGAGUCUUUCUGCCCUACAUUUUAGAAGGACACAUUCUGCCCUGAGCAGGAUGAUAGGAAUAAAGAAACAGCACUUUGGGAGGCCGAGGCAGGCAGAUCACUUGAGGUCAGCAGUUUGAGACCAGCCUGGCCAACAUGGUGAAACUCCGUCUGUACUAAAAAUACAAAAAUUAGCCGCAUGUGGCAGCGCACACCUGUAAUCCCAGUCACUCGGGAGCCUGACGCAC
rnacentral:lncRNA from 1 species